GGGCCUGUAGCUCAAUUGGUUAGAGCCGGCGGCUCAUAACCGCCUGGUUGGGGGUUCGAGUCCCUCCGGGCCUACCA
rnacentral:tRNA from 1 species